UAACUUCGUGCCUGUUGAAGAAUGUUCCGGCGACUUAUAGUUAGUGGCAGGUUAAGAUAGAGAUAUCGGAGCCAGAGUGAAAGCGAGCUUGAAUAGAGCGUUCGUCACUAGUUAUAGACCCGAACCCGCUUGAUCUAACCAUGGCCAGGAUGAAACUUAUGUAACAGUAAUUGGAGGUCCGAACCGACUAAUGUUGAAAAAUUAGCGGAUGAGUUGUGGUUAGGGGUGAAAUGCCAAUCGAAUUCGGAGCUAGCUGGUUCUCCCCGAAAUGCGUUUUGGCGCAGCGGUGAAUGUUAUAAUUUAGGGGUAAAGCACUGUUACGUAUGCGGGCUGGUAAUUCGGUACCAAAUCGUUGCAAACUAAGAAUACUAAAUGUAUAGUUUACCAGUAAGACUGUGGGGGAUAAGCUCCAUUGUCAAGAGGGAAACAGCCCAGAGCACCAGUUAAGGCCCUUAAAUAAUUACUAAGUGAUAAAGGAGGUGGGAGUGCAUAGACAAUCAGGAGGUUUGCCUAGAAGCAGCAAUCCUUUAAAGAGUGCGUAAUAGCUCACUGAUCGAGUAAACCUGCGCCGAAAAUGUACGGGACUAAGUAAUUUGCCGAAACUGUGCGAUAUAUAGAACAUAUAUCGGUAGGGGAGCGUUCUGUUGUAGAUUGAAGUAUUAGCGUAAGCGGAUAUGGACGAAGCAGAAGUGAGAAUGUCGGCUUGAGUAACGAAAAUAUAGGUGAGAAUCCUAUACCCCGAAAACCCAAGGUUUCCUCCGGAAGGCUCGUCCGCGGAGGGUAAGUCAGGACCUAAGGCGAGGCUGAAAAGCGUAGUCGAUGGACAACGGGUUAAUAUUCCCGUACCAUUUUUUAUUGACAACGAGGGACGGAGAAGGCUAAGCUAGCCGGAUAUUGGUUACCGGUUUAAACGUUCAAGAUGUUGAGAAGCGGCGAAAACGCUUUGAGUUGAGACGUGAGUACGAGAUGCUAAGGCGUCGAAGUAGUGUAUGUCAUACUUCCAAGAAAAGCUUGCACUGUCAUAGAUAAAAAACGCCUGUACCAUAACCGACACAGGUGGGUAGGUAGAGUAUACUAAGGGGCGCGAGAUAACUCUCUCUAAGGAACUCGGCAAAAUGACUCCGUAACUUCGGGAGAAGGAGUGCCUUAUUCUUAAGGUUGCAAUAACAAGAUCCAAGCAACUGUUUAUCAAAAACACAGGUCUCCGCUAAGUCGUAAGACGAUGUAUGGGGGCUGACGCCUGCCCAGUGCCGGAAGGUUAAGGAAGCCGGUCAGCGUAAGCGAAGCUGGCGACUGAAGCCCCGGUGAACGGCGGCCGUAACUAUAACGGUCCUAAGGUAGCGAAAUUCCUUGUCGGGUAAGUUCCGACCCGCACGAAAGG
rnacentral:rRNA from 1 species